UAUAAUGCAGUCGAGCGGACAGAAGGGAGCUUGCUCCCGGAUGUUAGCGGCGGACGGGUGAGUAACACGUGGGUAACCUGCCUGUAAGACUGGGAUAACUCCGGGAAACCGGAGCUAAUACCGGAUAGUUCCUUGAACCGCAUGGUUCAAGGAUGAAAGACGGUUUCGGCUGUCACUUACAGAUGGACCCGCGGCGCAUUAGCUAGUUGGUGAGGUAACGGCUCACCAAGGCGACGAUGCGUAGCCGACCUGAGAGGGUGAUCGGCCACACUGGGACUGAGACACGGCCCAGACUCCUACGGGAGGCAGCAGUAGGGAAUCUUCCGCAAUGGACGAAAGUCUGACGGAGCAACGCCGCGUGAGUGAUGAAGGUUUUCGGAUCGUAAAGCUCUGUUGUUAGGGAAGAACAAGUGCAAGAGUAACUGCUUGCACCUUGACGGUACCUAACCAGAAAGCCACGGCUAACUACGUGCCAGCAGCCGCGGUAAUACGUAGGUGGCAAGCGUUGUCCGGAAUUAUUGGGCGUAAAGGGCUCGCAGGCGGUUUCUUAAGUCUGAUGUGAAAGCCCCCGGCUCAACCGGGGAGGGUCAUUGGAAACUGGGAAACUUGAGUGCAGAAGAGGAGAGUGGAAUUCCACGUGUAGCGGUGAAAUGCGUAGAGAUGUGGAGGAACACCAGUGGCGAAGGCGACUCUCUGGUCUGUAACUGACGCUGAGGA
rnacentral:rRNA from 1 species